GACGAACGCUGGCGGCGUGCCUAAUACAUGCAAGUCGAACGCAGUGGGGACGGGUGAGUAACACGUGGGUAACCUCCCAUCAGAGGGGAUAACACUUGGAAACAGGUGCUAAACCGAUACUGAUGGAUGGACCCGCGGUGCGUUAGCUAGUUGGUGAGGUAACGGCGCACCAAGGCCACGAUGCAUAGGCGACCUGGGGGGGGUGUGGGCCACAACGGGACUGGGGCACGGGCCAGACGCCUAAGGGGAGCAGCAAUAGGGGAAUUUCGGAAAUUGACGGAAGGCUGACCGGGCAACGCCGCGUUGGUGAAAAAGGUUCUCGGGUCGUAAAGCUCUGUUGUUAGGGAAGCGGUAACGACCCAAGAAGGGACGGCUAACUACGUGCCAGCAGCCGCGGUAAUAC
rnacentral:rRNA from 1 species